rnacentral:lncRNA from 1 species
GAAUUCGCUCACCAAGCCAUCACUCCUCUUUGAUGCACCCAUUUGUUGGAAUGUUGUUUGAUGUAUUCAGAAUACAUUUGUGAACUUACUUCAAGCCAACAUAAAUUUUUGAAAAAGAGUCUUUGGGAGGACAAGGACCUUAGAUAUGGAUGAAAAGGUGUGGAUGAGUGAGGUCGAUAGAUGGAUGACUGGAACAAGUGGAUGUCAGGCAGUGUACUCAUCAUGAUUCCCAUAGCCAUGAAAGUCUCUUCUCAGCUUCAAUUAUUUCAAGGAAGGCGGGGGGGGGAGAAAAAAGGAGAGCGCAAAAAAGAAAAAGACGAGAGGUCAUACAUACGUUUAUUUUUAUUUUUAUUUUUAAAAUUGAAGCAACACAUGAACCCUUGGGCCAAAAACUGUUCGAGAAUUUUUUUGACAACUCCAUGAAUCUUUGUCUGAUGGAUGUCCAGAGUGGCACAAAAUAUUAGCAAUCACGAGUAGAAUACAGCACAAUCUUCAAAGCUAUGUGUGUGUGUGUGUGUGUAUAUAUUUAUAAAUUUUUAAUCAGUUAGUGAAUAUUUUAAUUUCUUUUUUUAUACAAUAAAUUAUUUUUGUUUAUAUACAUGCACAUACAUUGUGACUUCAUGAUUCAUAGUUUUUAUUAAUCUUAGAAAAUAUCAAUUUU